UGGACGCCCGGUAGCUGCGCAAAUCGCGACCCUGCAGCGCAGGUAUAAGAAUGCCUCCAGCACGCUGGAAAGCUGUACUCCAGCCAUGGCUCUCCGGUCCCGCUCCGCGCUGCUGCUGCUUCUGCUCGUGCUCGUGGUCGUUCUAGCGGCGUUGACGGACGUCGCCUGGGCGUCGAGACCGCUCUACUUCCCCAAGCUCAAGGCCAACGCCUGCCCUCCGGGAUCAAAAUACUUCGGUGGCCGUUGCAGAGUGAUCAUCCACUGAGAUUACUGUUGGCAAUGCGGGCUAUGGUCGAUGCUCGGGAUGAAGACGCAGAUGUUCUUCACUCCAGGUCGCAGCACCGAUACUAGAAACGUGUGCACUUGCUGCAGGUCUCUGUAGCCAACGAAUGGCCACAGAGCCACUACUGUAGUUAUUUAUUUCUAGAUGAAGUGCAAAAGAAACAAAAAAUACAAAUAGCCAUAAGCAUUUAUUCUAUAAUAUCAUGUAACUGUAUUUCGUAUUUUAAUAUUGUGUUUCCAUUAAGAGUUUAAUUACUGAAGGUUUUGAGCCAUUUUCUUAGAACUUCCAAAAGCCAAAAUAACAGUAUUUCAGUCAGUUUUACACUCAAAUAUUCGCCAAUUAUUACUCAGUUUCAGUGGACACUACGGGCAUAUUUUUGUAGUUAUUGAACUUCACACAGUCACGUUUUGUGUUCUUCAACAUAAUCUAUGAAACUAUCGUUACCAUGGCUUACUGCUUUUUCAGUACACUAGGCCACGUAAUUCACCUGUUUUCUGCAAAAGAAAAUAAAUUUACCUGUCAUUCCUUUAUAACCUGUACUACAUAAAUGUUUUGACCUAUGUCGCAUCAUGCUGUAUAUCGUUACGAGUAAAGAGGAAACAGAACUCACUUCCUGUACACAACAAUGGUUUCCCUGUAUGGCUAGAUUAUCAUUUUAGUAAUCUAACCAUACUAGUGGAGCACUGAAUAUUUUUUUACCUUGCUCUGUAUCAUAAAUCCACAAAUAAACUAUAUUUAAACGUAA